rnacentral:rRNA from 1 species
UACGUAGGGUGCAAGCGUUGUCCGGAUUUAUUGGGCGUAAAGAGCUCGUAGGCGGCUCGUUGCGUCGGCUGUGAGAACCCGCAGCUCAACUGUGGGCUUGCAGCCGAUACGGGCGGGCUGGGAUUCGGUAGGGGAGACUGGAAUUCCUGGUGUAGCGGUGAAAUGCGCAGAUAUCAGGAGGAACACCGGUGGCGAAGGUGGGUCUCUGGGCCGAUAUCGACGCUGAGGAGCGAAAGCGUGGGGAGCGAACAGG